CCCUGUAGCCAACUGCCCGGCGCAGACUCACGCUUGGAACUAGGACCCUUCAAGGGUCCUACUACAGCUUCAAGGAUUCGCAAAAGAUUUCACGGGAUAUGCCGCAAUAGGCCCAAACUGGAACGAAAGUGCAAAAUGUUCCAACUUUAGGAUGCAAAGGUAUUUAGAGCAGCGUGCUCCUAGAAAGAACCAGGAGUCACGUUGGUGGGAAGAAAACGAAACCGCGCGUCUCCUUCGAGCCGGAAUCGAACCAGCGACCUAAGGAUUUCUUUUGUUGGGAAGCCAACUACAGUCCUCCGCUCUACCAGCUGAGCUAUCGAAGGGACAAGAAAGCGUGCUACCUCUUGAGAUUCAACACAUAGGAACCGGAAUGUGUAAAACCACUGGUUAGUGGUCAAAUCAAACAUGCGUAACCAGGGAGGUAGAGGAAAGAAAGUGUGUUAUAGAGGAAACUUAUCUGAGAAGAGAUGAAUCUGGACAACAUCUCAGGAGAGAAGAUACUUGGGUACCAGAUCAAAUUAUUCAGAAGUAAACAGUAAAAAACCCUCACUAGGUGAAUUAUUAUCUAUUCAAAAAUAAAAAUAAAAUGAAAAAGACAACAGACGUCUUCUACCUCAGCCUUGUUUUCAAGAGCACAAUCAAGGCCUACAAGAGAGGUCAAGCAGCAUACAAAUUCAACAGUUGCAAGUACUGUAAGAGUGAAUGAAUGAAUAUACCAGGACUCCGGAGAUGGUGUCAGAGCUGCAGAGAGACGCUUAUGUUCAACACAAGGAAUCCCAGCUGACAAUGGCCACAGCAGCAGAGCUGGAAGGGCCACAUCCCAGUGGUAUGCAGGAUCAGAUGGAGCAGACCUCCCAACUCUGUCCCCACCAGACUAAUGACCAAACCAACACCAGCAAGAGCAGAAACCUCUGUAUGUCACCUGAUGAGUCAGGAGCUCUUAGAGGCCCCUAAGGCCCCAGCGAGGUACAAUGAUUGCUUAUAGUUUUAAGGAAUUCAGUGAAGAACAAUGGGAAGAACUUCAAAAUGUUUUUGUGAGCCUUUAGCUUCAUGAUGGGGGAAAAAGGAAGCCAGUACUGAAGAAAGUCAGAACCAGGCAAAAACCUAUAGCCCUGAAGGCAUUUGGGGAGGGAGCUGGCUACCCAAAGUGGGACCACACACUCAUUGUGUGGCAGGGCUGCCUGUCCCCUCCUCAGUUAGCCUCCCCUGAAAGUGGAGUCAGUGGGGGCUGGAGGGAUCCUAGUCCCAAAUCCCUGGUUCAAAUAAGGACAAGAAAAGGAAUCCUGAUUUUGCUUGCCACAGAACAAAAUCUAAAAGAGGUCCAUACUGACUGGCAGUAAUUUUAGCACUUAUUUUCAUUGCUUCUCUACCUUACCUUUCUCACUUACCCAUAACACGUUCCUAGAGAAUAAGCAAUUCAAAGCUUAGCUGUGUCAUUCAUCCCUGGGUUCAAGUCGUGCAGCUCAGCCCUGUUUUGGAACCUAACCAGCUAACUAUUUGCAAUAGAAGGGAAAAUUGCCUAACUGACACCUUCCCUUCUUCCAGCCCUGUCCCCUCUCUCCUGCUGCCACCACAGUCAUACAUGCUCAGGAUACGGAUGCUCUGCCCCACACAGCCACUUAACACUUCCCAGAGUAAUGGAGGCUACUGCCAAGUUUUUUACAAGUCACAUUAAAUGCCACAAAUGAAUGGGAUUUGAAAAAUAGGGAUUUCUGUAUGGCUUGAUGGACAAGGAAUAGGGCCACAGUCAUCCUGCUCGUCCCUGAGUUUUUAGUAUAUUGCUGGGUAGCAAGAACACCAAAGUCACUAACUAAGAAGAUUUCAACAUGAUCAUUCAAAUCCUAGGGCUGUAAAAAAUACAGGCUAGUGGUCAUUUAAGCCAAUUUAACAAAUGGCUGUUGGGACAUUCUGGCCAGAGAUCACUGUCACAGACAACUUUACUAUUAGCUCUCCUAUUUUGGGGAAUGCUAGGUACCCACUGCAACGUAUGCUUUUCCUGAGACCCGCUUUAGUCUUACCUGAUCUCAGUUGAGCAGUCAGGGGUGAGUAACUGACCCAAGUCAGACCAAUCACAGUCCUUCCCUAGGAUUUUUUCUUAACAUGUGGAACAAUCUUUCAGAUGUGAAAUGUAAGAUGUAAAGUUUGGGUAGUGUUGACUGGCCAAAUGAGAGAGAUUAAAACUGAUCUGCAAAAG